UAGUUAGCCACAUAAUACAACAAGAUCACAAAAUAAAUCAAACCAACUUGUAAAUAAUGUAACACGUUGUUACGGUUUUAUUAUAUUAACAAACUUCAUCUUGAAGUGCUAAAAGUUUCAUGGAUAUCCGUGUAAGUUUUAUGAUUGUGUUCAAGCACAAGGACUAUGGGUUACUGAUAUAUUUGAUGUCAUAGUUUUUAGCUGAUAUUAUAAUCUUGUGUAUCACACAAUAUGCUUAUUUUUUUAUAUAUCAAUGUGUUUGUAUUCAUAUAAUCUACUAAGUUCACACUAUGCAUUUUGUUGAUCUGACAAAACACAAAUUAGCAUUGUUUUAGUGUUGGGGGUUUUUGCUAAAGAGUGUUGCAGUUAGCAAUAUGUUUUUGUAAUCCAAAUGAAAGUCUUUUUCCCCCCAAAAUAACACAACAGAAAGCCAAAGUGCAUAAGAUGAAAUUGUAGACCUAUGGUACAGUCUAGAACAUUGAAGAAUAUUGUUACACCAAGCACUUUAAAAUAAUAAAUAAUUUGUAUC